CCCUCCGAAAUGAAUUAGGAGUUAAUGACACGGGCAGCCAGCGGAGCUGUGCUAUUAAGGAGCCGUCCAGGGCUAUAAUCAUACCAAAGCAAGAAAAAAAAAAAAAAGCCGCCGGGAUAAUUAAGGCUGAUGAUUAGGCGAAGAGGAAACUUUAGAAGAUCGCGGCUCUGCCUCCUCUCUUGCCGCCGGCUCGGCUCCUCCCGGCACCCCCGGCUCCCCCAGCCGCGCCUCCGCCGCUCCGUCGGGUACCGGCGCGCCCCCGCCCCGCCAGCCCUCCUGGACCGGGAUCUGCUUGAUCCCCGGCUGGGUCUCCGAGAAACGAGGCGCUUUUCCACAGGGUUGCAAGGUGCGGGAUGCUGGACCCUCCCUUAGCGAAACGGCCCGGCGAGGAAACGCGGGUAUCUGUUCCCCGCCGCUUAUUUUUCAUUCGAAAAGGGGGUUUGUUUGCGUUUCCUCGGCAGCGCGACCCAAGUCGGGCAAAACCACUCUGCAAAGGUAUUUCGGUGGCACAGGCCAUGGAUGUCCUGCCACCCACUGUCCACUGCUACUACAAUGCCUCUGAGACACAAAGAAUCUGUUGAGCUAUGAAAAAACAAUUCGAUACGUGCAUAGCAAGAGCCAAGAAGAGAAAAGACCAUGGGGUUAUCUUCUAAGAUAGACAAAGAACCACCACUUGAACUCAUCUGACUCGACUGCAGAUCUGUGCUUGAUCCUUUGUGACAGCGUUUUUCCCUCUUUCCUAAAUUGAGGAGAGCCUGGAAGAGGAAAAGUUAAGUUUUCACCUGAAAACCAAACAUUAUUUGUCAUCUGAGAAGCACCAGAAAUUUUCUAGUCAAAACUGUUUGUAUGAGAUUUCACAGUUAAGUUUCAAAGGUCUGAAGUGGAUAAGCUUCCCAACUCACAGAAAUUUGACUCCAGUAUUUGUAAUGCCAAGUUUUCAAAAAGUUUUUCAGCCCUGAGAAUUAACUUGUCAACUGUGAAGAAGCUUUGAAUUUGUUCAUAAAUCAUUUUGCUGCAGGCUAAAAUUUGACAUGCUGUAGGUAAACAUAUUUUUUUUCUGGAAAAAAAUUGACAAAUACAUUAUUACUAUUUUUCACCUUUAGAAUAGUGUCUCUGAUGUCUCCACUUUAUGACUAAACCAAAUUUUCUCCUCAUUACGUUACACUGUGUUAUUACACUGUCGAGGUAAGUGAUCACCACGAGGCUGAGAACUGCAGCCAGAUCAAUAGUGGGACAGGUUCCAAAGGAUUAAUUUUCAAUUCAGAUUUCUGCUUUGUGCUUGUAUCAAGCUGUGUCUCCUUCCCACCUUUGUGCAUGUGAAGCUACAGGAUUUUCAGGAUUUUGACCUGACCUUGAAAUCCCUCCAGACGUCAACGAGAUCUGUUCCUGGGGAGAGCUUGCUACAUUCACCCUGGAGACGCCGCGCAGCAAUUCCCCCUCUUGUAUUUUGAAUAUACCUCACUGUGCCAGCACUGCUGAUGUGCUAUUGAGGCUGAGAAUUUUUGACAAGUGACUCAUCACCGCUCCAGCAAUAUGUUACAUUUGAUCAUGGAGUCCUAGAGGGUUUUUAGCAAGCAAUUAGGAGGUGGAUGUGAAAAUAAUUUGUACGUUUGUCUGUUUGUUGUUUGUCUCCGGCUCUUCUAUAAUCAGUUACCUCCCUCCCUUCCGCUGUGGGCAGGAGGGGCCAAAGAAACGCGGCUGCGGUUCCUCUGGGCUUGAGCCCAGCGGUGCCUGACCUGGGUAUUCUGUGUUCCUGGUGUACAACGUGUGCUCCGGGAAGAUGGGAGAGGGUUAGUCUGAGCUGUCAUGCUGCUACUUGUCCUCUUCCCUGACAAAAACGCUCUGCGCUGACUCUCAUCGCUGUGAACAGACUGAAUAGAGACAUGAUGUAAAAAUUAAAUCACUUGAAUUUUUUUUUUGGGCUAACGCUUGGCUUUAUAUAAACUCAGAGACAAUCCUAUAAGGCACUCAGGGCAGAUUAUAGGUUUGGGCAAAGCUAGAAAAUUGCUGCCAUUAUAUUGUUAUUAUUAACACCUUGUAAUUAGCCCUAAGGAAUCCUGAAGUUCUCUCUCCUGAUUUGGCUUUAAUGAAGGAAAAUUGCUACCUUUGCAAGUUGGAUGGCGCCCGCUCUGAUUAGUCUUAAGUAUAUAGGACUAUUAUUUUGAAGAUGUUUGUUGUCAUGUGAAUAUUAGUAUUGCAUGUAGAAGGGGGGAGGGGAGCGGAGUGGGCUCUUUUAUUUCUCAACUGUGAUGAGUCACAUGUUCACUUUAGUUACGGUCAUCCCCUUAAAAAUCAAGAAUGGAAACCUUGUCAAGGUAUCCCGACCACAAGCUAAUGAAUUCAGGAGGAUCCUGUGGCAAGUGUUGCCAGCUGCCCUACCUGCUGAUUGCAUUGGCUGAUGGAGUAAUUGUUGCAUGGAGAUAGUUUUAUGAUUGCUUUGAGAGUCUGAAUGAGAUCAUGCGUGAGUUAGCACACUAAGUGCAAUAAAAAUGAUUUUAUUUGCAUGUCCCAGAGCCUUUCCUGAUUCCUUUGCUGCUUUCACAGGCAACGUCUUCCCAGUGAAACCAAGCCAACAUUAAUAAAACAUCCCUUCCAUACAUCUCCACUCCUCUCCUCCCACAUACUGUAUGCUUUCAUUACCAUCUCUGGGAAAAAACUGACAUUAAAGAAA